ensembl:lncRNA
ACAUUGCUAAAUGCAUCGAGGUCUCAGAAACGUUUUAGUGCCGGCAAAAGAGUUUGAUUUGUUUAAAUAACCAGGUGGGAAGAAUGUUGAUGACUCAUGUCAGGGAUCAGGGAACAUUUAUUGACAAAAUAUGUCAAACCUACAAGGAAUUUGUCUUGGCUGUUGGUGCGUGACAGUAUAUCAGUCGAAAACCAUUUUGUUCGGAUUUUGUUCCUUCUAAGACGAAGUGGUCAACUGCCUUAUUGCCUGCACAAAUAUUUAUACUUGGGGACAAGAUACUCGUCAAAUAUAAGACAAUAGCACUGCAAUAAACAAGACUACAAACUUUACGAAUUGUAUUUCCACCGUCUGUAUGAAUAACAGAUAUACCGCGGGUACGGAAAGUUUUCAGACCCUUUUAAAUUUUUCGCUCUUUGUUUCAGUGCAACCAUUUGCUAAAGUGAAAAUGAAUUGAAAAGUUGUUUUAUUUCUCAUUAAUGUACACUGGUAAUUGUAUUGGGGGUGGUUGUGGUGGUGGCAGUUGAUGUUGAACAGUCACAGCUAUUAAAAUAUUGUUUAAUCCAAAUGUCAAAAAAAGGUUGGUUAUCAGGGUUUUUGUUAAUGCCCAUGGUUGUUCUGCUAUAUGUCACUUUAGCUCAAGCCGUUGUACUUGUUAUGAAAUAGCAGUGUUUCCCCUAAAACGUCAGGGCGGGGGAUAGUCGGGCAAAGCCAACCGGUCCGACCGGGUGGAUGAUGAUCAGGCAAACGGUUCAGCGAGAAGGGGGUAGUGGUGCUUUGUGCCCCGCUGCUGGGGGCUAACACGCACAUAUUCGCGACAUAUUCGUGUCAGUGUGGAACUGCCGUGGGUCAAAUGGUAGGGGAAACACUGGAUAGACACACCAAUUGAAGUACUAUUUAAAAAAUUAGGAAUUUCCAGGUACAUUGAGGCGGAACAAGGAAACAAGUUAAAUUUCCCAAACAAGAACACACCCACACCUCAUUACAAUGACUAACGAUGGCUGUGGGCUAUCUAAUUGGCACUGUUGUGAAACUUCCUGGGUUAACAGGUUUGACAUGAGCCUCAUCGACUUCAUCAUGACAGCAGUCAUUCAGAGGGUAGCGGCGGAUGUUGUGGUCGGUGUAGUUGCUGUAUGUGUUGCGAUGGUGUAAGUUGUAGU